UGGGUGAGCUUAUCAUAAAAAUAAUACAAAUAAGUAGUGUGUGAGCUUAUUAUAAAAAUGAUACAAAUAAAGUAGUGCGUGAGCUUAUCAUAAAAAUCAUACACAUAAAGUAGUGUGUAGGCUUAUCAUAAACAUGAUACACAUAAAGUAGUGUGUAGGCUUAUCAUAAACAUGAUACAAAUAAGUAGUGUGUGAGCUUAUAAUAAAAAUGAUACACAUAAAGUCGUGUGUGAGGUUGUCAUAGGAAUAAUACAAAUAAGUAGUGUGGGAGCUUAUCAUAAACAUGAUACACAUAAAGUAGCGUGUAAGCUUAUCAUAAAAAUGCUGCAAAUAAAGUAGUGUGUGAGAUUAUCAUAAAAAUGAUACACAUUAAGUAGUGUGUGAGCUUAUUAUAAAAAUGAUACAAAUAAGUAGUGUGUGAGCUUAUUAUAAAAAUGAUACAAAUAAAGUAGGGUGUGAGCUUAUCAUAAAAUGCUACACAUAAGUAGUGUGUGAGCCUAUCAUAAAAAUGAUGCACAUAAAGUAGUGUGUGAGCUUAUCUUAAAAAUGAUACACAUAAGUAGGGUGUGAGCUUAUCAUAAAAAUGAUACACAUAAAGUAGUGUGUGAGCUUAUAAUAUAAAAAUGAUACACAUAAAGUCGUGUGUGAGGUUGUCAUAGAAAUAAUACAAAUAAGUAGUGUGUGAGCUUAUCAUAAACAUGAUACACAUAAGAAGUGUGUGAGCUUAUCAUAAAAAUGAUACACAUAAAGUAAUUUGUGAGCUUAUCAUAAAAAUGAUACACAUAAAGUAGUGUGUGAGCUUAUCAUAAAAAUGAUACAUAUAAGUAGUGUGUGAGCUUAUCAUAAAAAUGAUA